AGAGUUACUGGCCACAUGGCAGUUUCUGACAUUAAGCAAAAAAUUUAAGCUGGAUCCUCUAACAAAAGUACCCAGCUCCCAUGGCAAGAGGGAUAAAGAUUUACCAGGAUCUCUCCCAUGCCAAUUAGGGCACAAAGAAAGGAAGUUGAGUGCUUCACAAAUUCAAGCCUUCCAAGAUGCCUACAACUUCUUUACCAAGGAUAAAACCGACUGUAUUGAUUUUCAUGGAAUGAUGUGCACUUUAGCUAAGGUGGGAAUGCAUCUAACCAAGCAUGAUGUCUAUAAUGAAUUAAAAUAUGCUGAUAUUGACCGAGAUGGGAAAGUGAAUUUCUCAGACUUUAUAAAGGUGCUAACAGAUAAGGACAGCUUCCUUAGACCUGUGGUUCCAGAAAAAGACAAGUGUUUAGAUUUUGCUGGCAACCCAGGGAUCCUGUUGUUUGAAAUUCUAUCAAAGCUUGUAGAGAUUUCAGCCUUACCCAGAAAGGCUAUAAUAGAAUUAGUAAGCUAUUUCCAAAGGAAAUUCCAAGAAACCACUGCAGGAAUAUUGUGGAAUCCCUCCCCUACAGAUUAUGGAAAAAGGAGAUUUAAGCCAGACAUGUGCACACCUCUGACCUCAAGCCCAACUGCCUUUGCUAAUGCUACUUGGAUUGCAAUAAUGAAAGAAAAAGAUUUAUUCAGAUAUCUUGAGGAGCUCAGGAGAUGCAAUCCUCCUUCAGACAACCCAUAUUCAAAAAUACCCAUCUUUCCAUUGUUUCCUAAUGUGGAUGGGCUGGUAAUGGGAAAGCCAUUCAAAGACAUGCAUAAAUUAGAAAUGCUUAGGAGAAAGGAGCCUCUGAGUUUCUUUGAUAACUACUUUUUCCAUAAAAGAGAUUGGAAAACACAGGCAGCAAAUAUAAAGCCUGUCGACUCUCCCUCCGGCUACCCAACUGAGAUCCUCACCAUUGACCAAAUGUUGAAGAAAAAGCAGAAAUGGACAGUGACUGAGGCAGCUGCUCUUAAACCACAUGUGAAGAGAGCUAUAGAAACCUAUAACUUAGGAAUUGCUCUUGAGCACCGGAAAGAAAUGCUAAAUUUCUGGCAUAAGAUCCGAGGGGAUUUGGUUGGAAUAGACACUAAAAAUGAGUCCUUUUAUGAAACCUUUUCUACUUAUACAUGGUCCUGGAAUGUUUGCCAAGAAUUACUUUCCCCAAAGGACUUAAGGUUAUAUGAUGGCUGCAUGAAUAGAAAUUCCUUCCACAAUUCUUCAGUCUCUUCCUCUUCGAAUACCAGUGAAUGUGACAUAGAAACAGGAAGAAAAAGAAAACAGAAAGGUUUCAAAGGGUUUCAACAAUGAAAUUUCUACAUUUUCUAAGCAGCUCAUUUCAAUCUACUUUUUCAUAGAUAUCAAAAUUAUGGUUUCUUGAUUUUGUCUAGUACAUUCUUAGCAGCUGGAAAUGUUGACAUCUUUUAAAUUCUAACCAGCAAAAAAGUUUAAGU